GUCUGUGUGCAUGUGUCACUCUGCGCCGGGUAAAUCCUCUGCCACAGGAGAACACAGGCUGUUUCUCAGUGCCUUUCUCCAGCUGCCUGCCUGCACUUCGGCAGCGUUGUCCCUCUUGUCACCCCCUUGGUGGGGCCCCUUUCCUUUACUAUGGUAAUAGUGACAUUCAGCGGGAAAGGCUAGAAGCCAACAUCAAAAAGCCCAGGCACAGAACUGGUUAUUUAUUCCAUUUGUGUGUUUGUUUUUUACACCAUCUAGGCUACAGCCCGGCAAAUCUAUACAGCACCUUCAAAAUGCUAGACCAGGAAGAUGCAAGUAAGCAGCUUGGAUGACACUUGAAAGAAUGGCAAAGGCUUUGCCGUGAGGAAGAAUUUCCCUGCUGAGCUCCUAUUGCCAAAGGAUAUUUACCUGGCGCCCUGACAAGAUCUGUUAGAAAGACCCCUUUCUCCCUGCUUGUAUAUGGCAAAGUUUCUUGCAGAGCUCCUGGGCUGCACAUUGCCGGACAAGGGCACCUCUCCCAUGUUUGAGUCCAGAAGUCAGUCCCGUAUUGGCCUGAAGCAAAGUACCAAGCAGAAGACCACAACUUUCAGCACCUUGGCCAAUGAGAAGACCUUAUCUGACCGCAAACGGGUAAGUUAACCUUUCAGCUUUACAGCUCCUCCUUAGAAUGCUACAGGGCUUCUGAGCUCCAGAGGUCUAG
rnacentral:lncRNA from 1 species